rnacentral:lncRNA from 1 species
GGUGCCUAUGUUACCGUGCAGAUGACGCAACCAAGCUCAAGGAGGAGCUCGAUGAAGAUCUUGCCCUUUGUGUUGUUUCGUUCUAGUUGAUCAGUAGUGGAGCCCAGUUGGGGUCGAUCGGGGACCUUUGUCGCAUUUGGGGUCCUUCUUUUAUUUUGGUUCCGUAGUCGGACCUUGAUUGUAUCUGGAUGAUGUAAUGCUUUAUUCAUGUAAUUGUGUGAAGUGGCGAUUGUAAGCCAACUAUGUAUCUCUUUCCCUUAUGUAUUACAUGGGUUGUGUGAAGAUUACCUCACUUGCGACAUUGCUUUGAAUGCGGUUAUGCCUCUAAGUCGUGCUUCGACACGUGGGAGAUAUAGCCGCAUCGAGGGCGUUACAAGUUGGUAUCAGAGCCUUCCCCGACCUUAGGAGCCCCAUUGCUUGAUCGUUUUUAGCGGCCGAGUUGUGUCUAGAAAAAUGUUUUGAGUCAUUUAGGAUUAUAUAUAUCGGAGAGUUAGGAAUUCUUUUUACUUCCCAGCCUCCUCAUCGCUCUGGUAAGGCAUCCUGACGUAGAGUUUUGACUCUUCUCUUCUCAAAUUUCACUAAAUUUUUUUUAGGAUCACGCGGGUAUCUUGGAAUCGUUCCGAUGGUUUUAUGAUGAGAACAUUGUCUUGGUGCCUCCUGUCAGGGGUUUUGUGGAAGUGUCCUGGGGAGUUGAGCUCUGAGGUGUUGUCAUCAUAAUUUUAUCGUUGCAGUUCUGGAAUACCUGAGUUUAGUACGCCGACAUCGAAAAUCUCUUUUAUGCAGUUGUUGGUGAGAUAACCCCGAUAACCCAGUACUGAGGUGAGUACGGGAGUAUUGCCAUGACUUGUAUAACGGAUGCUUUUCGAAGGUUGAGGUAGACGAUUUCCGAAGGUUUCUUGGUUAUGUGUUGAAGGAUGGAUACAGCUGGAUGUAGGAUUUGCUAGUUUGGGUGAGAUAUUAUGCUUCCCCUGUAUCCCCAACACCUGAUUGCAUAACCGGAAAAUUUCGGGAGUUUCAUAGGUGGGAAUUCAAGUAGCUCUUAGGAUAUAUUUCCGACGGAUGUAUGAUAUGAAAUUGGGGUUCGACGUCUAGUGGUCCGCCUUUCCACGGUCGUUUUUACAGUGGUCUCGUUGUGUCUUAAAGAGUCCUUGGCUAUGCCGACUCGGGGACACUUCGUAUGUCAUGUGCACUGCCUUGUACAUGAUGGUGCUGUACGAUCGAGCCCGUGUAGGCCCCACCACAAAAACUUCGGACGAAAUCUCUAUCAUAUGUUUGUUCCGGCUUAUUCUGCAAGCCAGUCCUUUGUUUUUGUUUUGAGUUGUGGUAUUCGAGUUGCUUCAAUGUCAAAUGUUGAAUCCAUACCUUUCUUAAAUGGUGUUCUCAUAUUUCUAUGGGAGUGCUAAUCCUUUCGAUCAUCGAGAUUGUCAUGUCAAUUCUUUCCAACCGGUGUGCUUCUUUUCAAGUGGAUCCGAUCAUUUCAACAUUCGCAAGAUCACCUCUCAGUUUUCUCAACGGUGUUUGUUUCAUCCGUCCCAAGUUGUUUUUGUUUUCCCGCCCUCCCACCCCUUUUUCUUCAAGGACUCAGAUUUCUUAAUCGAGUAUCCAUUUUAUUGAUGGGAAGUUUCUCCAUUCUUUUCCGUCAAUGUUCUUAUCCGGUGAUUCUCAUGAAGAUUCUAAUGGAGCUUCAAGUUCGUCAUUCCUCAUUCCUUUCUCUUCUCCGGUGGAUUCAAGUCAAGAUUUGUCGAUUAUAUCCCCUUUUUCUCGUCUCAAAUGUCUUCUCAUACUGGUGCACCUCAUUAUAAUUCUACUUCUCGCUACUUGUUAUUCCGGAGUACUCAAGAUAUCUCGAAGAUUCGUGUUUCCACUAUGCAUUCGUUCAAGAUCUUUCGAGGAUGUUCUCUCAUUCAAGUCUUUUAUUUCAACCGGUGCAUUAUCUCUCUUCAAAUUGUUCAACGGUGUUUCUUUUGAGUGGGCCCUAACCCACAGGUCUUUUCCCAGGAUCUUACCUGACUCUUCUAAUUCUCCCGGAGAUGUCCUUAAAAUUCUUUUCGAAGUUUGACGUAAGAAUGAGUUAUCAUCAGUCAAAUGCCAUCUCCUAGAUCUUUCACAAUUAUUUUCAUCGUUGGCUCAACCUCUUCGUUUUGAUUCUUUCGGAGUGUCUAAAUAAUUCUUGGUGGUGUUUCUCGUUGUCAUUCUCAUCAUUUGAAGACCGAAGAAGAGUUUCUCUUUAAUCUUGCUCUAUUCUCUUCAAGAUUCAUGGUGCUAGCUUGUUGCCAUCCUCUCAUAAUUGUUUUGAUCGUGAGAAUUCUUUUCAUCCAUCCGGAGUUAUUCAAGAGUCUUCUCAGUUUGUCAUCCGGAGUCCAUCAAUUCAGAUUUAUUCAUUCUCAGUUUGCAGUUAUCAUUCUCCGAUCUUACCGGUGCCUUGUUCAAGUGAUCUUUAAUCGGCUCGUGCUCUCUUCGUUCUCAUGUAUCUAAAUACCCUAAAGUAUCUUCAUUCAUUUUGCAAUUCUUCCCGGUGAUUUGUGCAUUUGCUACGUUCAAUUUCAAUUCUUACGGUGGUUCGUUCAAGAGUUCUCUUUCUUUGUUAUCAUAUCAAUUCAUUCGUUCUUUCCAAAUCCUACCGGUGGUUCGUUGAAGACCUUCUCAAGUUUACGCCAUAUCUCUCUUAAUCCUUUCUACAAGAAUAAGUGGUAUGCCAAAUCCGUUGCUUGUCAUCAAUUUAAAUUGGUGAAGGAUAAGCAUAACAUAAUUCUUAUUCUUGUUCAUCCAAGUGAUCAAUUCUUUAUUCCGGAGGCCCUUAAAAUUCUCGGUUUCACUUGAUUCAUUUUUCUUUCCCAGAGUUCCAAGCUCUAAAUAUCACAGAGAUCCAUCUAAAUCAUUACAAGGUUUGACCUUGUGUUUUCAACUUCUCUUUCCUUUCGUUUGAUGAUUCUUUUCUGACCGGAGUUCUUCGUGAAGGUUCUACAUGAUGGUUCAUCAAGGAUUUAAUUCUUUCUCCAAGUGUUCAUUGAGAUUCCUUUCAAAAGGAGCUCAAGCUUUCUUCAUCUUGCUAUCUGGAGUGCAAUUCUUUCUUCCGUAUCAUUGGAGGUGGUAUUAUGUCAUUCUUGAUAUUUUGAAUUCAUGUUUCAUGAUUCACAUGUUGUCAUGAAUGAGAUAUUUUAAAAUCCAUCAAUCUCGUCAUUGGAGCUAUCUUGGGUUAUAUUUCACCUAAAGCCUUCCCUAAGGUUGUUGCUAUUUAUGGUGCUUAUAAAUGAUCCAAGUACUUCAUUUAUCCUCCCGGUGAAAUAAGUUUCUCGUCUCCUCGUUCAUAUCAAUCCAAUUCUUCUUCCUGUGAGUGGCAGGUUGUCAUCUCAUAAUUUGAGAUGUAUUUCAUAAGACCAUAUCAAGAUUAUUCUUUUCGUUGUUGGUUUUCAACAACUCCAUUCUAGCAUUUGUUGUAUCUGUGAUCUCUCAAGAUCUUGUUUCCCUUCGUUCCGGAGUCAUUGUGAUGUUGCUCUUUUCAACCCAUCAUCUCGUUUGUCAAAGAUCAUGUUCUUUUCGUGCUUAUCCAUUUAACCAGAGUGUCGUGUCCUCUGCUCAAGUUCUUUUCAUCUUAUCUAGUUUUGCCUCCCUUCUCAACCGGAGUGCGGUUUGUAAUGUUUCUUACCCCUUGUGCCAUUCUUUCAAUUCCGGAGGCAGUGUGUUGUUGAUUUCAUCAUGUAUCCUCCCAUCUUGUCAAGUUCAUGUUCAAUUCCUUCCAUUUACAGUCGGAGUGCUGCCCAAAUUAUAUCAAUCUUAUUCCUCCUCUAUCUAGUUUUAACCGGAGUGGUUUCAAUAUCUAUCUUAUCACUAAACCUCUGGGUUCUCAUCGUAUCCCUUGUUCCUCUUUUCUAACGGAGUGUUUUCAACUUUGUUCAUCUUCGUUGUUUUCUUUCAUUCAUUAGUUCAACCUCGCAAGGUUCUUUGGUUUCACUCGUUCGUCAAAGGAGCAACUUAGUUUUACCUCUCCUCUCUUUCUCUUCCGUUGUCCCUCCGGUGCCAUUCUAGAUCUCGGGACGAGAUCCUCUCGUAGUGGUGGAGUGUUGUAACGCCCCGAGACCGAUGUGCCAGGUGUCGUGCAGUUAUUCGCUGUUAUUGCUUUGUCAUUUGCUUGCGUGUUGCAUUUUGCCAUGUCAUCAUCUGCAUUUCAUCCGCAUGUUUUUCAAAAACUUGCAUCCGUCCCGGUCUCCUCGUUCCUUCCGUUGUCCGUUCUGAGCCCAGACACACUUGCACGCGCCCGCGGCAUGUCCGAAAUAUUAUUUUAUAAGUGGCCGGAAAAUGUUCUCGGAUUGGGUUGAAAUUUGGUGUGUGGUCUUAUUAUAGUGUAGACAGACCGCCUGUCCAGUUUCAUCGCAAUCGGAGUUCGUUUGACGCCCCAACGGAUAAAUAUAGCGGCAAUAGUAGCCGGUCAAAACGUCGGACGUUUUCGGUCUCCGGAAAUAGUCGCCGGGCCUUCCUCUCUUCUCUUCUCUCAGCUCGAGACCGUCUGCACAACUCACUACCUCUCACCACCAGGCCCUACCUAACCUCUCUCGUCAGCCCGCCGCCCUCCUCGCGCGCGCGUCCGAAAGUUGUCCGGAACCCGAACCGAGCUGUCGCCACCGUUGUAUCCGGAUCAUCCCCAAACGUCUACAAAACGUCACUGUUUUCUUAUUUGGGCUCCCUAGCCUAUUCUUCCCGAACCGUCUGAUUUCGAUCGGGACGAAAUAGCCCCUAUCCAAAAUUCACUUGUGCUAUAUAAAGACCAACCCUAAAUUUUAGGGAUCUUGUCCCAUGCACCCUCUCCCGAGCGCCGCCACUCUUCUUGUCCCUUCCUCCUCGGGAUCCUCCCCGAUCCAAAAAUCCAGCCAUCCACCUGCGCCUCCCUCCUUCCUCGUUUUCCCUAGCCGGCCAACCCCCACCGAGAUCCAGAUCCUCCAGCCGCCACCUCCUCGGUUCCCGAGGCCCAGCCUCCUCUCGCACUCGUGCGCGAGCACGCGCCCGAGGAGCUCGAGCAGGGGAGCCCCGAUCCCGCAGCAGCAGCGCUGCCUGGCUCCUUCUCACCUCAUCUUCUCCCGUGCGCCUCCAUCUCGCGCAGCCCCGCCGGCGACGAGCAGCAGCACCUGCAGGAGCUCCGCCUCCUCUCGCGAGCGCCCAGGCCCGUGAUCCUCCUCCCUCUUCCUUCCCCUCCCUUUUUCUUAUCCUUCUCUGAUCUCCCUCUCUCACCGGAUGCUCCCUCCCUGUUCUUCUUCAUAGGGAACUGAUGCAACCACUGCCUCGUUUGACCCCGCCGGAUCGGGUCGCGUUCGCCCCGUCGCCGUGCUCCCCACCGACGCCGUCCGCGCCCUUUCCUGCCUCGGAUCCGGCUGGAUCCACCUCCUCCUCCAGCCACGGCCUUCCUGGCCGGAUCCCGCCGCCGCGUUGCCGCCAAGCCAGCUCGCCGCUGCUGCUCUGCUUCCUGACGAACAGAGCAGCUCGCUCGCCCGCUCGUCCCCGCUCGCGUUGACCCUUCCCCGAUUGAACCAAGGCCGGCCAGCCCAGCGUGCCUCCUCCCGUGCCAGAUCGCAGCCCAAUCGGCCUCGCAUCGGCCUGCUUCGGCUCCCGUUGGACCUCCACGUCGCCCGCGCCUGGGCCUCCUUGCGCAAAGCCCAGCGCCGCCCCAGCCUCAUCCGGCCCAGCCGCCCUUCUCCAGCGAACCGGGCCUUGGCCCAGGGUGAGCAGCCCCAAGCGCCCCCUCCUCUUAUUUUUUUUACCUGUUGGGCUUGCCCCAGAUUCAGCCCGUCAUGUGUUUUUUUCAGCGCCUGGGAUUUUUCCUAUUAUUCCAGAGAGCAGCAGUUUUGUAGUUUAGUCCCCCUAGUUCAUGCAUUUAAUAACUCACUAACCGUGCAUCGGAUUAAAAUGUUUUAUAUAUGAAACUUGCUCAAAAUUUUGUGUAGAUUAAUAAUAUCCAACUUUCAUCUAUGUUUGAGAUGAUAAAAAUGCUGUUUGCAUUAAUUUGCUCCUAUGCCAUGCUAAAAUGCUUUAUUUCAUAACUAAGUAACCGUAACUCCAAUUUUAAUAAACUUUAUAUGUAAAUGGGGUAGAAUUUUGCCUAGUUUAUCAUGGUGGCCUUACUUUGCAUGUUUAACAACCCUAAAAUUGUGUUUAGGGCAGAACAGGACCUAAUCUAAAAUAUGCAUAUGGGGAGUUUCCGGAAUUGUUGUUCGUUGCUUCCGGCCUCACUUAAACUUGACUAGAUAGGUAGUUUUACUUUGCUUCACCCUCUUGCCAUGUUAACCAACAUUUAAUAUUGUUGAGUACAUAAACGAGAUCAAACUAAAUAACUUGUUGUGGUGUUUCGUCAAUAUGCAACUCCGUUGCAUAUUGAGCUCCACUUAAUUUGUAAGAUAGUUUGUUGCAUUUUGCCAUGCCAUGCCUCUUUAAACUAGACAUGCAUCAUACUCGAUUAUGCAUCAUGCCAUGUCUAUGUGGUGGUUGUUUACUAUGUUGUGUGCUUCUUUUCCGGUGAUUGCUUCUUCGGGUUGGUUCCGGUAACGUCGAGUUUGUGAGGAACCGUUCGACUACGCCCGUUUGUCUUCUUCAUGGACUCGUUCUUCUUCCUUGCGGGAUUUCAGGCAAGAUGAUCAUACCCUCGAAAUCACUACUAUCUUUGCUAUGCUAGUUUGCUCGCUCUUUUGCUAUGCCAAUGCUACGAUGCCUACCAUUUGCUUGUCAGCCUCCCAAAUUGCCAUGUCAAACCUCUAACCCACCAUGUCCUAGCAAACCAUUGAUUGGCUAUGUUACCGCUUUGCUCAGCCCCUCUUAUAGCGUUGUUAGUUGCAGGUGAAGAUUGAAGUUUGUUCCUUGUUGGAACAUGGAGAUGUUGUUCCUUGUUGGAACAUGUUUACUUGUUGGGAUAUCACAAUAUAUCUUAUUUAAUUAAUGCAUCUAUAUACUUGGUAAAGGGUGGAAGGCUCGGCCUUAUGCCUGGUGUUUUGUUCCACUCUUGCCGCCCUAGUUUCCGUCAUAUCGGUGUUAUGUUCCCGGAUUUUGCGUUCCUUACACGGUUGGGCUAUAAUGGGAACCCCUUGACAGUUCGCCUUAAGUAAAGCUUCUCCAGCAAUGCCCAACAUUGGUUUUACCAUUCGCCACCUAGCCUCUUUUUCCCUUGGGUUUCGCGGACUCAAGGGUCAUCAUUAUUUUAUCCCCCCCGGGCCAGUGCUCCUCUGAGUGUUGGUCCACCUGUCAGCUACCGGUGGCUACCAGGGGCAACUCUGGGCUGGCCUACCCGUACCUAGGACAAUCUGAGUGUGCCCUGAGAAAGAGAUAUGUGCAGCUCCUAUCGGGAUUUGUCGGCACAUUUGGGCGGUGUUGCUGGUUUAGUUUUACCCUGUCGAAAUGUCUUGUUGUACCGGGAUACCGAAUCUGAUCGGAGUGUCUCGGGUGGAGGUCUAUUCCUUCGUUGACCGUGAGAGCUUGUCAUGGGCUAAGUUGGGACUCCCCUGCAGGGAUUUGAACUUUCGAAAGCCGUGCCCGCGGUUAUGGGCAGAUGGGAAUUUGUUAACGUCCGGUUGUAGAAAACCCGAAGUUGACCUUAAUUAAAAUACAUCAACCGCGUGUGUAACCAUGAUGGUCUCUUUCCGGCGGGGUCCGGGAAGUGAACAUGGUUGUUGGAGUUAUGUCUGACGUAGGUUGUUAUAGGAUCACUUCUUGAUCAUACUUUUAUCGACCGUGCUUUGCCUUCUCUUCUCGCUCUCAUUUGCGUAUGUUAGCCACCAUAUAUGCUAGUCGCUUGCUGCAGCUCCACCUCAUUACUCCAUCCUUCCUAUAAGCUUAAAUAGUCUUGAUCUCGCGGGUGCGAGAUUGCUGAGUCCCCGUGGCUCACAGAUACUUCCAAAACCAGUUUGCAGGUGCCUAUGUUACCGUGCAGAUGACGCAACCAACCUCAAGGAGGAGCUCGAUGAAGAUCUUGCCCUUUAUGUUGUUUCGUUCUAGUUGAUCAGUAGUGGAGCCCAGUUGGGGUCGAUCGGGGACCUUUGUCGCAUUUGGGGUUCUUCUUUUAUUUUGGUUCCGUAGUCGGACCUUGAUUGUAUCUGGAUGAUGUAAUGCUUUAUUCAUGUAAUUGUG